CAAGUCGCGGGAAUCCCUAGCAAUAGGGGGAACCGGCGUAAGGGGCAGUAAGGCAUGGGUGACCUACCCGGCGGUUGGGCAUAGCCCGUAGAAAUACGGGGUAAUUCCCAGCGAUGUCGCAAGACCAAAGCUCCGGCGCCUCCGGAGGGGCCCAUGUAGUAUUAGCUAGUUGGUGGGGUAACGGCCCACCAAGGCAAAGAUGCUUAGCGGGUGUGAGAGCACGACCCGCGCCACUGGCACUGAGACACUGGCCAGACACCUACGGGUGGCUGCAGUCGAGGAUCUUCGGCAAUGGGCGCAAGCCUGACCGAGCGACGCCGCGUGUGCGAUGAAGGCCUUCGGGUUGUAAAGCACUGUCGAGGGGGAGAAAGCCGAAAGGUUGAUCUAUCCCUGGAGGAAGCACGGGCUAAGUUCGUGCCAGCAGCCGCGGUAAGACGAACCGUGCGAACGUUGUUCGGAAUCACUGGGCUUAAAGGGCGCGUAGGCGGGCUGCAAAGUCCGGGGUGAAAUCCUCCAGCUCAACUGGAGAACGGCCUCGGAUACUUGCGGUCUCGAGGGAGGUAGGGGCGUGCGGAACUAUGGGUGGAGCGGUGAAAUGCGUUGAUAUCCAUAGGAACUCCGGUGGCGAAGGCGGCACGCUGGACCUUUUCUGACGCUGAGGCGCGAAAGCCAGGGGAGCAAACGGGAUUAGAUACCCCGGUAGUCCUGGCCCUAAACGAUGAGAACUAGGUAGUAGACUUGACAUGGGUUUU
rnacentral:rRNA from 1 species